rnacentral:rRNA from 1 species
AUUGAACGCUGGCGGCAUGCCUUACACAUGCAAGUCGAACGGUAGCAGGUUAAGCUGACGAGUGGCGAACGGGUGAGUAAUAUAUCGGAACGUGCCCAGUCGUGGGGGAUAACUGCUCGAAAGAGCAGCUAAUACCGCAUACGACCUGAGGGUGAAAGCGGGGGAUCGCAAGACCUCGCGCGAUUGGAGCGGCCGAUAUCAGAUUAGGUAGUUGGUGGGGUAAAGGCCCACCAAGCCAACGAUCUGUAGCUGGUCUGAGAGGACGACCAGCCACACUGGGACUGAGACACGGCCCAG